UUCCGGUUGAUCCUGCCGGACCCCACUGCUAUCGGGAUGGGACUAAGACAUGCUAGUCGCACGAUGGAGGCGCGGCACACAGCUCAGUAACACGUGGCUAACCUGCCCUUGGGACGGGAACACCCCCGGGAAACUGGGGCUAAUUCUCGAUAGGUGAAGAACCCUGGAAUGGGUCUUCGCCCAAAAGAUUAAGCGCCCAAGGAUGGGGCCGCGGCCGAUCAGGUAGUUGGUGAGGUAAUGGCUCACCAAGCCUUUAACCGGUACGGGCCGUGAGAGCGGUAGCCCGGAGAUGGACACUGAGACAAGGGUCCAGGCCCUACGGGGCGCAGCAGUCGCGAAAACUUCGCAAUAAGCGAAAGCUUGACGGGGCCAUCCCGAGUGCCAUCUGCUGAGGAUGGCUUUUACCCAGUAUAGAUAGCUGGGGGAAUAAGGAGAGGGCAAGUUCUGGUGUCAGCCGCCGCGGUAAUACCAGCUCUCCGAGUUGUGGGGACGUUUAUUGAGCCUGAAGCAUCCGUAGCCGGCUGGGCAAGUCUCCUGUUAAACCCAGCGACUAAAUCGUUGGCCUGCGGGAGAUACUGCUCGGCUAGGGGACGGGAGAGGCCGCCGGUAUUCUUGGGGUAGGGGUGAAAUCCUAUAAUCCCAGGAGGACCACCAGUGGCGAAGGCUGUCGGCUAGAACGCGCCCGACGGUGAGGGAUGAAAGCUGGGGGAGCGAACCGGAUUAGAUACCCGGGUAGUCCCAGCUGUAAACGAUGCAGGCUAGGUGUUAGGGCGGCUACGUGCCGCUCUAGUGCCGCAGGGAAGCUGUUAAGCCUGCCGCUUGGGGAGUACGGUCGCAAGGCUGAAACUUAAAGGAAUUGGCGGGGGAGCACCACAAGGGGUGAAGCUUGCGGUUUAAUUGGAUUCAACGCCGGA
rnacentral:rRNA from 1 species